AGUGAACGCUGGCGGUAGGCCUAACACAUGCAGGUCGAACGGCAGCACAGUAAGAGCUUGCUCUUACGGGUGGCGAGUGGCGGACGGGCGAGGAAUACAUCGGAAUCUACUUUUUCGUGGGGGAUAACGUAGGGAAACUUACGCUAAUACCGCAUACGACCUACGGGUGAAAGCAGGGGAUCUUCGGACCUUGCGCGAUUGAAUGAGCCGAUGUCGGAUUAGCUAGUUGGCGGGGUAAAGGCCCACCAAGGCGACGAUCCGUAGCUGGUCUGAGAGGAUGAUCAGCCACACUGGAACUGAGACACGGUCCAGACUCCUACGGGAGGCAGCAGUGGGGAAUAUUGGACAAUGGGCGCAAGCCUGAUCCAGCCAUACCGCGUGGGUGAAGAAGGCCUUCGGGUUGUAAAGCCCUUUUGUUGGGAAAGAAAAGCAGCAGGUUAAUACCCCGCUGUUCUGACGGUACCCAAAGAAUAAGCACCGGCUAACUUCGUG
rnacentral:rRNA from 1 species